rnacentral:rRNA from 1 species
CUACGGGACGCUGCAGUAGGGAAUCUUGCGCAAUGGGCGAAAGCCUGACGCAGCGACGCCGCGUGGGGGAUGAAGGCCUUCGGGUUGUAAACCCCUUUCAUGAGGGAAGAACACUGACCUAACCUCAGGAAGAAGCACCGGCUAACUCCGUGCCAGCAGCUGCGGUAAUACGGAGAGUGCAAACGUUGUUCGGAUUCACUGGGCGUAAAGGGCACGUAGGCGGCUCGGCAAAUCAGUCGUGGAAUCCCGUCGCUUACCGGCGGAACGGCGGCUGAAAAUACCGGGCUCGAGGGCGUAAGGGGUCGCUGGAACUCCUGGUGAAGCGGUGAAAUGCGUAGAUAUCAGGAGGAACGCCGGAGGCGAAAGCGAGCGACUGGCGCGUUCCUGACGCUGAGGUGCGAAAGCUAGGGGAGCAAACAGGAUUAGAUACCCGAGUAGUC